CCGUGUGCUCCGUGCUCCGUGUGCUCCGUGCUCCGUGUGCUCCGUGCUCCGUGUUUUACUAAUAGCCUCUCAAUGCAUCUUAGAAGUAUACGUCACGCAAUUUUCAAACAAUGAGUUAUUGACCCAAACGUAUCCCACAAUGCACUGUGCAUUCCAGAAGUCGUCUGUAUUAAAAAUUGCGUGACGUAAGCACUUCUAAGGUCUAUUAAUAAUAGAGCUAAAAAGCUCAGGCCAGUUUCAGACGGCGUAUUCUUCAUGUGCCGAACUUAAUUGUAUUAGAUGCGACACAAGACUGGCAGUGAUUCAAACGGAGUACCAAAUACUAUGUUAUUGACAAGGUCGGGGCGCAUUCGCCAGCGAAACCUCAAUAAAAUUCAAAAUAAAUAAGUUUAUUUUUAGACUAAAGUUGAGUUAAGUUUGGCACACGAGUGGAGCGGCGUAUGAAUCAAUGUCGCUCCAACGUCGCAUAAUGCGACAAGCUCUGCCGAACUUGUGUCGAACUUUUGCCGCUCCAAAUUCUGCCGUACGUCGCUCUUUUGCCGUACCUAAUUCAUCAAUUAAGUUCGGCACAUGAGAAGUACGCCGUCUGAAACGGACCUCAUUGUUUCCAGUAAUGGAAACAAACCGGGCCUUUAGUUUUAAGCUCUUAAAGAUUUUUAUAAUUUUAGCCUUACUUGAUUGUAAGACUUAUUCUACUAGACCUUAUAUUGUUCCUAAGGACUCUUACUCAAAGGAUAUCCAUCGACUGAACGCUGAUGGAUUGUUAUUUGGAUUAUUUUCAUGUGAAUAUAUACUGCC